AAGAAUUAUGAAACGAAGGGAGUA
rnacentral:miRNA from 1 species